rnacentral:rRNA from 1 species
GUAGUCUCGCACAGACUGCAUAUCAAUAAGCGGAGGAAAAGAAACUAACAAGGAUUCCCCUAGUAACGGCGAGUGAAGCGGGAAGAGCUCAAAUUUGAAAUCUUAAAGGGUUUCCCUUUACGAAUUGUAGUUUAAAGAAGUGUUUUCUGUUGAGGUUUUGGUAAAAGUUCUUUGGAAUAGGACAUCAUAGAGGGUGAGAAUCCCGUAUUUGACCUUUACUUUCAACUUUGUGAUACACUUUCAAAGAGUCGGAUUGUUUGGGAAUGCAGUCCAAAAUGGGUGGUAAAUUUCAUCUAAAGCUAAAUAUUGGCGAGAGACCGAUAGCGAACAAGUACCGUGAGGGAAAGAUGAGAAGAACUUUGAAAAGAGAGUUAAACAGUACGUGAAAUUGUCAAAAGGGAAGCGUUUGACACCAGUGUUGUUUUUCUGAAAAUCAAUUAAAGAACUGUUUAUGCUAAGCUGUUUAGACUUUAUCAGCUAUCUGUUUAGUUUUGAGCUUUUCUUUAAUGCACUUUUCAGUUAACAAGUCAACAUCAAUUUCUUUUGCUGUAAAAAGGCUUGAGGAAGGUGGCUUGAGAUUCGUCUUAAGUGUUUAUAGCCUCUUGCCUAUGCAGUCGGAGAGAUUGAGGUCUGCAGCGUAGAUCCUUCGGGGCUAAAUGCAUUUGUGCUAAGUUAUAACAUUUUAUAGACAACUUGUCGACUAUGAUUUGUCUUGUAGCAUUACUCGCUUAUGUUAUUUUACCUACGCUUAGGAUGUUGAUCUGUAGUGCGUGCGC